rnacentral:rRNA from 1 species
UACGAAGGGGGCUAGCGUUGCUCGGAAUCACUGGGCGUAAAGGGCGCGUAGGCGGCCAUUCAAGUCAGAGGUGAAAGCCCAAGGCUCAACCUUGGAAUUGCCUUUGAUACUGUUUGGCUUGAGACCGGAAGAGGUUAGUGGAACUGCGAGUGUAGAGGUGAAAUUCGUAGAUAUUCGCAAGAACACCAGUGGCGAAGGCGGCUCACUGGCCCGAUACUGACGCUGAGGCACGAAAGCGUGGGGAG